GUUAAAACAAAAUUUAUUUGAUGAAACAAAUGGAUAAAAGAUAUGAUGAUAAAAAUCUCUUAAUGUCCAAAACGCAUUUUGCCUAGUGUGGCUUCUUCACUUGGCAUUAGUGAUGUUAAUGUAUCCAGUUCUUUAUAUACUAGUGAUUUUCAAGUUUGCGUUAUUUUUCUUAAUGUCUGUUGGUACAAUACUUCCUGUUGUUUACGUCAUAUCCGGUCUUGUAGGUACUCUGCGUGUUUGGAACGCACCUCAUUGGGUCGGCAACUCUCUUCCUGUUGCUCACGUCCUUUGCGAUCACGUGUAUACGCUCAGCGUGUUUGGAACGCACCUUAUGUUUCACUGAAUCAGCAAGCAGAGUGGGAGAAGUCUUUGGUGGAGUGCAUUAUGCGUUCCGCUCAUAUGACAAGAUUUAACACAUAAAAUACUUAGGCAUUAUAACUUAAUGUCUAAACUGGAAAAACAAAGAAUUCAAUAUUAGAUACAUUUGAUCACAUAUUUCUCAAUGUUGUACUUUAGUGGUUUAAAAAUACAGAUGAGAAAUUUUUAAAGUGACAGUAUAAUCAUACUAAUUAUAUAUACAGAAUUCAAUAUGGAGUGGAGUAACACCUCUUAGUGUAAAGUGGAAGGGAGGAAGAGUUUCUAAUAUAUGAUUUUUACACUUGCUCAUGCAUUGGUGAAAUUCUAAAAAAAUAUAAAAAUUA